rnacentral:rRNA from 1 species
UACGAAGGGGGCUAGCGUUGCUCGGAAUCACUGGGCGUAAAGGGUGCGUAGGCGGGGCUUUAAGUCAGGGGUGAAAUCCUGGAGCUCAACUCCAGAACUGCCUUUGAUACUGAAGAUCUUGAGUUCGGGAGAGGUGAGCGGAACUGCGAGUGUAGAGGUGAAAUUCGUAGAUAUUCGCAAGAACACCAGUGGCGAAGGCGGCUCACUGGCCCGAUACUGACGCUGAGGCACGAAAGCGUGGGGAGCAAACAGG